rnacentral:misc_RNA from 1 species
UAGGGAGACCUACCCACUCAGAUAUCGAAAACAAUCAGCGAUUAGAUAUUGAGUUGGUCAUCCUAAGGUCGGUCGCAAAUAGUUAUUGAUGGCUUUCAAACUAUGAUUGGUUCGUUUAGGGGCUAUUACCUCAUGUGGUUAGAGCGCACCCCUGAUAAGGGUGAGGUCCCUGGUUCGAGUCCAGGAUGGCCCACCUGAAUCAAUUAAAAGUCUAAAAUCUAAGCAUUAAAAAGUCAAAAAGUCUUUAUUUGCUAAUUUUUAAUUUUUAAUUGAUGAUGGGGGUUUAGCUCAGUUGGUAUAGCGCCUGCUUUGCAAGCAGGAUGUCAGCGGUUCAAGUCCGCUAACCUCCACCUAGUGUGACAGUCGCCAAGGUCAAUAAACACAGCUAAAAAUGGCAAAAUAGUGUUGCGAUUUCUCUAUUGGUGAUGUAGACACUAUCGUUGAAUGGAAAACCGAAAAUAAACUCAGCAACUAGGCUUAUGUGCCAGACUGCUGGGAGAGAAAACCAGCCAGAACCUUGAAAACUGCAUAGUGACGCGAAAAAAAUUGCAGGCAGACAUAGACAUAAGUUAUGUUCGUGGAUGCUUUAAAGUGAAACACCAAAAUGUUUGAGU